UGCUAUGAUGAAGCUUAAUAUCUCGUUAAUCUGAACAAGUGUUAAUGAAGACACUAUUCUUAUCCAUUCAUUAAGAGAUUCUGAGC